rnacentral:rRNA from 1 species
GGGUUGUGAGGUUAAGCGACUAAGCGUACACGGUGGAUGCCCUGGCAGUCAGAGGCGAUGAAGGGCGUGCUAAUCUGCGAUAAGCGCCGGUAAGGUGAUAUGAACCGUUAUAACCGGCGAUACCCGAAUGGGGAAACCCAGUGUGAUUCGUCACACUAUCAUUAACUGAAUCCAUAGGUUAAUGAGGCGAACCGGGGGAACUGAAACAUCUAAGUACCCCGAGGAAAAGAAAUCAACCGAGAUUCCCCCAGUAGCGGCGAGCGAACGGGGAGGAGCCCAGAGCCUGAAUCAGCAUGUGUGUUAGUGGAAGCGUCUGGAAAGGCGCGCGAUACAGGGUGACAGCCCCGUACACAAAAGCGCAUGUGCUGUGAGCUCGAUGAGUAGGGCGGGACACGUGGUAUCCUGUCUGAAUAUGGGGGGACCAUCCUCCAAGGCUAAAUACUCCUGACUGACCGAUAGUGAACCAGUACCGUGAGGGAAAGGCGAAAAGAACCCCGGCGAGGGGAGUGAAAAAGAACCUGAAACCGUGUACGUACAAGCAGUGGGAGCCCCACCACCAAAGCAUUUGCUGUACCGCGUUGACGGAGCGAAGCGACGUCAAANNNNNNNNNNNNNNNNNNNNNNNNNNNNNNNNNNNNNNNNNNNNNNNNNNNNNNNNNNNNNNNNNNNNNNNNNNNNNNNNNNNNNNNNNNNNNNNNGUGUGACUGCGUACCUUUUGUAUAAUGGGUCAGCGACUUAUAUUCUGUAGCAAGGUUAACCGAAUAGGGGAGCCGGAGGGAAACCGAGUCUUAAUUGGGCGUUAAGUUGCAGGGUAUAGACCCGAAACCCGGUGAUCUAGCCAUGGGCAGGUUGAAGGUUGGGUAACACUAACUGGAGGACCGAACCGACUAAUGUUGAAAAAUUAGCGGAUGACCUGUGGCUGGGGGUGAAAGGCCAAUCAAACCGGGAGAUAGCUGGUUCUCCCCGAAAGCUAUUUAGGUAGCGCCUCGUGAAUUCAUCUCCGGGGGUAGAGCACUGUUUCGGCUAGGGGGCCAUCCCGGCUUACCAACCCGAUGCAAACUGCGAAUACCGGAGAAUGUUAUCACGGGAGACACACGGCGGGUGCUAACGUCCGUCGUGAAGAGGGAAACAACCCAGACCGCCAGCUAAGGUCCCAAAGUCAUGGUUAAGUGGGAAACGAUGUGGGAAGGCCCAGACAGCCAGGAUGUUGGCUUAGAAGCAGCCAUCAUUUAAAGAAAGCGUAAUAGCUCACUGGUCGAGUCGGCCUGCGCGGAAGAUGUAACGGGGCUAAACCAUGCACCGAAGCUGCGGCAGCGACACUGUGUGUUGUUGGGUAGGGGAGCGUUCUGUAAGCCUGCGAAGGUGGCCUGUGAGGGUUGCUGGAGGUAUCAGAAGUGCGAAUGCUGACAUAAGUAACGAUAAAGCGGGUGAAAAGCCCGCUCGCCGGAAGACCAAGGGUUCCUGUCCAACGUUAAUCGGGGCAGGGUGAGUCGACCCCUAAGGCGAGGCCGAAAGGCGUAGUCGAUGGGAAACGGGUUAAUAUUCCCGUACUUGGUGUUACUGCGAAGGGGGGACGGAGAAGGCUAUGUUGGCCGGGCGACGGUUGUCCCGGUUUAAGCGUGUAGGUGUGUGUUCCAGGUAAAUCCGGUUCACUUUAACACUGAGGCGUGACGACGAGGCACUACGGUGCUGAAGCAACAAAUGCCCUGCUUCCAGGAAAAGCCUCUAAGCAUCAGGUAACAUCAAAUCGUACCCCAAACCGACACAGGUGGUCAGGUAGAGAAUACCAAGGCGCUUGAGAGAACUCGGGUGAAGGAACUAGGCAAAAUGGUGCCGUAACUUCGGGAGAAGGCACGCUGACACGUAGGUGAAGUGAUUUACUCAUGGAGCUGAAGUCAGUCGAAGAUACCAGCUGGCUGCAACUGUUUAUUAAAAACACAGCACUGUGCAAACACGAAAGUGGACGUAUACGGUGUGACGCCUGCCCGGUGCCGGAAGGUUAAUUGAUGGGGUCAGCGCAAGCGAAGCUCCUGAUCGAAGCCCCGGUAAACGGCGGCCGUAACUAUAACGGUCCUAAGGUAGCGAAAUUCCUUGUCGGGUAAGUUCCGACCUGCACGAAUGGCGUAAUGAUGGCCAGGCUGUCUCCACCCGAGACUCAGUGAAAUUGAACUCGCUGUGAAGAUGCAGUGUACCCGCGGCAAGACGGAAAGACCCCGUGAACCUUUACUAUAGCUUGACACUGAACAUUGAGCCUUGAUGUGUAGGAUAGGUGGGAGGCUUUGAAGUGUGGACGCCAGUCUGCAUGGAGCCGACCUUGAAAUACCACCCUUUAAUGUUUGAUGUUCUAACGUGGACCCGUUACCCGGGUUGCGGACAGUGUCUGGUGGGUAGUUUGACUGGGGCGGUCUCCUCCUAAAGAGUAACGGAGGAGCACGAAGGUUGGCUAAUCCUGGUCGGACAUCAGGAGGUUAGUGCAAUGGCAUAAGCCAGCUUGACUGCGAGCGUGACGGCGCGAGCAGGUGCGAAAGCAGGUCAUAGUGAUCCGGUGGUUCUGAAUGGAAGGGCCAUCGCUCAACGGAUAAAAGGUACUCCGGGGAUAACAGGCUGAUACCGCCCAAGAGUUCAUAUCGACGGCGGUGUUUGGCACCUCGAUGUCGGCUCAUCACAUCCUGGGGCUGAAGUAGGUCCCAAGGGUAUGGCUGUUCGCCAUUUAAAGUGGUACGCGAGCUGGGUUUAGAACGUCGUGAGACAGUUCGGUCCCUAUCUGCCGUGGGCGCUGGAGAACUGAGGGGGGCUGCUCCUAGUACGAGAGGACCGGAGUGGACGCAUCACUGGUGUUCGGGUUGUCAUGCCAAUGGCACUGCCCGGUAGCUAAAUGCGGAAGAGAUAAGUGCUGAAAGCAUCUAAGCACGAAACUUGCCCCGAGAUGAGUUCUCCCUGAGACUUAAAGUCUCCUGAAGGAACGUUGAAGACGACGACGUUGAUAGGCCGGGUGUGUAAGCGCAGCGAUGCGUUGAGCUAACCGGUACUAAUGAACCGUGAGGCUUAACCUUACAACGCCGAAG